UACGUAGGGUGCGAGCGUUGUCCGGAAUUAUUGGGCGUAAAGGGCUCGUAGGCGGUCCAUCACGUCGGGAGUGAAAAGCUGGGGCUUAACCCCAGUCCUGCUUCCGAUACGGGUGGACUAGAGGUAGGCAGGGGAGAACGGAAUUCCUGGUGUAGCGGUGAAAUGCGCAGAGAUCAGGAAGAACAUCGGUGGCGAAGGCGCUCUGCUGGACCAUAACUGACACUCAGGGACGAAAGCUAGGGGAGCGAAUGGG
rnacentral:rRNA from 1 species